GGUUAAGCGACCAAGCGUACACGGUGGAUGCCCUGGCAGUCAGAGGCGAUGAAGGACGUGCUAAUCUGCGAUAAGCGCCGGUAAGGUGAUAUGAACCGUUAUAACCGGCGAUUUCCGAAUGGGGAAACCCAGUGUGACUCGUCACACUAUCAUUAACUGAAUCCAUAGGUUAAUGAGGCGAACCGGGGGAACUGAAACAUCUAAGUACCCCGAGGAAAAGAAAUCAACCGAGAUUCCCCCAGUAGCGGCGAGCGAACGGGGAGGAGCCCAGAGCCUGAAUCAGCAUGUGUGUUAGUGGAAGCGUCUGGAAAGGCGCGCGAUACAGGGUGACAGCCCCGUACACAAAAGCGCAUAUGCUGUGAGCUCGAUGAGUAGGGCGGGACACGUGGUAUCCUGUCUGAAUAUGGGGGGACCAUCCUCCAAGGCUAAAUACUCCUGACUGACCGAUAGUGAACCAGUACCGUGAGGGAAAGGCGAAAAGAACCCCGGCGAGGGGAGUGAAACAGAACCUGAAACCGUGUACGUACAAGCAGUGGGAGCACAGGUUUACCUGUGUGACUGCGUACCUUUUGUAUAAUGGGUCAGCGACUUAUAUUCUGUAGCAAGGUUAACCGCAUAGGGGAGCCGAAGGGAAACCGAGUCUUAACCGGGCGUUAAGUUGCAGGGUAUAGACCCGAAACCCGGUGAUCUAGCCAUGGGCAGGUUGAAGGUUGGGUAACACUAACUGGAGGACCGAACCGACUAAUGUUGAAAAAUUAGCGGAUGACCUGUGGCUGGGGGUGAAAGGCCAAUCAAACCGGGAGAUAGCUGGUUCUCCCCGAAAGCUAUUUAGGUAGCGCCUCGUGAACUCAUCUCCGGGGGUAGAGCACUGUUUCGGCUAGGGGGCCAUCCCGGCUUACCAACCCGAUGCAAACUGCGAAUACCGGAGAAUGUUAUCACGGGAGACACACGGCGGGUGCUAACGUCCGUCGUGAAGAGGGAAACAACCCAGACCGCCAGCUAAGGUCCCAAAGUCAUGGUUAAGUGGGAAACGAUGUGGGAAGGCCCAGACAGCCAGGAUGUUGGCUUAGAAGCAGCCAUCAUUUAAAGAAAGCGUAAUAGCUCACUGGUCGAGUCGGCCUGCGCGGAAGAUGUAACGGGGCUAAACCAUGCACCGAAGCUGCGGCAGCGACGCUUAUGCGUUGUUGGGUAGGGGAGCGUUCUGUAAGCCUGCGAAGGUGGCCUGUGAGGGUUGCUGGAGGUAUCAGAAGUGCGAAUGCUGACAUAAGUAACGAUAAAGCGGGUGAAAAGCCCGCUCGCCGGAAGACCAAGGGUUCCUGUCCAACGUUAAUCGGGGCAGGGUGAGUCGACCCCUAAGGCGAGGCCGAAAGGCGUAGUCGAUGGGAAACGGGUUAAUAUUCCCGUACUUGGUGUUACUGCGAAGGGGGGACGGAGAAGGCUAUGUUGGCCGGGCGACGGUUGUCCCGGUUUAAGCGUGUAGGCUGACUUUCCAGGCAAAUCCGGAGAGUCAAGGCUGAGGCGUGACGACGAGGCACUACGGUGCUGAAGCAACAAAUGCCCUGCUUCCAGGAAAAGCCUCUAAGCAUCAGGUAACAUCAAAUCGUACCCCAAACCGACACAGGUGGUCAGGUAGAGAAUACCAAGGCGCUUGAGAGAACUCGGGUGAAGGAACUAGGCAAAAUGGUGCCGUAACUUCGGGAGAAGGCACGCUGACACGUAGGUGAAGUGAUUUACUCAUGGAGCUGAAGUCAGUCGAAGAUACCAGCUGGCUGCAACUGUUUAUUAAAAACACAGCACUGUGCAAACACGAAAGUGGACGUAUACGGUGUGACGCCUGCCCGGUGCCGGAAGGUUAAUUGAUGGGGUCAGCGCAAGCGAAGCUCCUGAUCGAAGCCCCGGUAAACGGCGGCCGUAACUAUAACGGUCCUAAGGUAGCGAAAUUCCUUGUCGGGUAAGUUCCGACCUGCACGAAUGGCGUAAUGAUGGCCAGGCUGUCUCCACCCGAGACUCAGUGAAAUUGAACUCGCUGUGAAGAUGCAGUGUACCCGCGGCAAGACGGAAAGACCCCGUGAACCUUUACUAUAGCUUGACACUGAACAUUGAGCCUUGAUGUGUAGGAUAGGUGGGAGGCUUUGAAGCGUGGACGCCAGUCUGCGUGGAGCCGACCUUGAAAUACCACCCUUUAAUGUUUGAUGUUCUAACGUGGACCCGUGAUCCGGGUUGCGGACAGUGUCUGGUGGGUAGUUUGACUGGGGCGGUCUCCUCCUAAAGAGUAACGGAGGAGCACGAAGGUUGGCUAAUCCUGGUCGGACAUCAGGAGGUUAGUGCAAUGGCAUAAGCCAGCUUGACUGCGAGCGUGACGGCGCGAGCAGGUGCGAAAGCAGGUCAUAGUGAUCCGGUGGUUCUGAAUGGAAGGGCCAUCGCUCAACGGAUAAAAGGUACUCCGGGGAUAACAGGCUGAUACCGCCCAAGAGUUCAUAUCGACGGCGGUGUUUGGCACCUCGAUGUCGGCUCAUCACAUCCUGGGGCUGAAGUAGGUCCCAAGGGUAUGGCUGUUCGCCAUUUAAAGUGGUACGCGAGCUGGGUUUAGAACGUCGUGAGACAGUUCGGUCCCUAUCUGCCGUGGGCGCUGGAGAACUGAGGGGGGCUGCUCCUAGUACGAGAGGACCGGAGUGGACGCAUCACUGGUGUUCGGGUUGUCAUGCCAAUGGCACUGCCCGGUAGCUAAAUGUGGAAGAGAUAAGUGCUGAAAGCAUCUAAGCACGAAACUUGCCCCGAGAUGAGUUCUCCCUGAGACUUUGAGUCUCCUGAAGGAACGUUGAAGACGACGACGUUGAUAGGCCGGGUGUGUAAGCGCAGCGAUGCGUUGAGCUAACCGGUACUAAUGAACCGUGAGGCUUAACCUU
rnacentral:rRNA from 2 species